rnacentral:rRNA from 1 species
AUUGAACGCUGGCGGCAGGCCUAACACAUGCCAGUCCAGCGGAUGAAGGGAGCUUGCUCCUGGAUUCAGCGGCGGACGGGUGAGUAAUGCCUAGGAAUCUGCCUGGUAGUGGGGGAUAACGUCCGGAAACGGGCGCUAAUACCGCAUACGUCCUGAGGGAGAAAGUGGGGGAUCUUCGGACCUCACGCUAUCAGAUGAGCCUAGGUCGGAUUAGCUAGUUGGUGGGGUAAAGGCCUACCAAGGCGACGAUCCGUAACUGGUCUGAGAGGAUGAUCAGUCACACUGGAACUGAGACACGGUCCAGACUCCUACGGGAGGCAGCAGUGGGGAAUAUUGGACAAUGGGCGAAAGCCUGAUCCAGCCAUGCCGCGUGUGUGAAGAAGGUCUUCGGAUUGUAAAGCACUUUAAGUUGGGAGGAAGGGCAGUAAGUUAAUACCUUGCUGUUUUGACGUUACCAACAGAAUAAGCACCGGCUAACUUCGUG